rnacentral:rRNA from 1 species
UACGUAGGGACCGAGCGUUGUCCGGAUUCAUUGGGCGUAAAGAGCUCGUAGGCGGCCACUCAAGUCGCGUGUGAAAGCCCCCGGCUCAACUGGGGAGGGUCACGCGAUACUGAUCGACUCGAAGGCAGGAGAGGGUAGUGGAAUUCCCGGUGUAGUGGUGAAAUGCGUAGAUAUCGGGAGGAACACCAGUGGCGAAGGCGACUACCUGGCCUGUUCUUGACGCUGAGGCGCGAAAGCUAGGGGAGCAAACGGG